rnacentral:snoRNA from 15 species
UAACAACCAGCUCACUUUGAAGGUUUAUCCUUCUGAAAAUACAAUCCAAAUUAUCUGAAC